GAAGUGCGAUAAGCAAUGCGAAUUGCAGAACCGUGAGUCAUCAGAUUUUUGAACGCAACUGGCGCCGGCUGGGUCUCCAGCCGGCAUGCUUGUUUCAGUGUCUUGUUUUCUCCUCACCCAAAUCUUAAUGCGAGAGAUGCCCUUCUCUUGCUAAGCAUGAAAGCACUCUGUGCUCUGCGAGCAGCCUUUCGACUCGUUCGAGGGUUGCACUCAAUGCAGCUGUCACAUUGCUCACAGUGUGAACUCAUUGAGAGUAGAGGCAGUGCAGCAUUAGCUGCCAGUGCUUAGAAACACUAAACUUUCCUUGCAUCUGAAAUCAAGCAGGAUCACCCGCUGAACUUAAGC
rnacentral:misc_RNA from 1 species